UUUGCAGAAAAGAUAAAAAUGGAAUGAAGACAGAACUCUAUGAGAGAAAGAACAUAGUAACUAUUCUAAUGAUGUUGGGAUCCUCAGUCUUCCAGAGGAUGGCAAUGGGAUUUGCUAAUACAGGAUGGGAGAGAGAAUGAUGUGUGAGCGUCUGUGAUGAAGAUGUCACACUUACAGUAGAAACUGAGAAACAGUGGAUAACUUCUGAAAUCUUUGGGUAUAAUCGUCUAUCUUGUGUGAUCUAA
rnacentral:lncRNA from 1 species